rnacentral:rRNA from 1 species
UACGUAGGGCGCGAGCGUUGUCCGGAAUUAUUGGGCGUAAAGAGCUCGUAGGUGGCUUGUUGCGUCUGCCGUGAAAGCCCGUGGCUUAACUACGGGUCUGCGGUGGAUACGGGCAGGCUAGAGGCUGGUAGGGGCAAGCGGAAUUCCUGGUGUAGCGGUGAAAUGCGCAGAUAUCAGGAAGAACACCAAUGGCGAAGGCAGCUCUCUGGGACGGUACUGACACUGAGACGCGAAAGCGUGGGGAGCGAACAGG